GGCACUAGCGAGCAGGGUCAUCAGAGCUGCUCCAUUCUUCUGGAAGCUGCAGAGAAAGGGAGCCCGGAAACCUGGUAUGCCGGCAAAAAGGGCUGGAGUGCAAUGACACGAUCUUGGCUGACUGCAACCUCUGCCUCCCGGGUUCAAGCAAUUCUCCUGCCUCAGCCUCCUGAGCAGAUGGGAUUACAGUUUAUAAUCAGGUAUAAGUCUCUUGGGGAAUCUGACCUCAUACCUCAUCUAUGCAGUUCCUGUACAAGGUUCCUGACCUGUGCAGGAAGACGCCAGAGCGAUCCGCAGUCUUUUCCCAUCUUCAUAGGCUAACCUCAAGAUUAAGGUGUUAUAAAACACAAAGGGAGGGAUUGAAACUACCUUUGCAAAAUUAUGACUGAGACAGUGAAAGAAAUCUAACUUGAUCGACUCCAUCUUGCUUCUAACCUGCAAGCUGUCCUUGUCCAUUCUUGGACCGAGGCUGAAUUAACUUUGGGAGGAACUUAGUUUAUAGUUUAAAUCAAAGACGGUAACAGCCCUUUCCCAAAGCAGACCUCCUUCUUGCCUGAAGACUAAAUUGCCUUUGUAGGGCUAACAAUAACCACGAGAUAAGAAAUCAUGGUGGAGGAGUCAUGUAGCUGGAGGGUACAAGAUUCUGACCCUCCCUAAACUGCUCCUAAGAUUAG
rnacentral:lncRNA from 10 species